rnacentral:rRNA from 1 species
UACAGGGGGGGCAAGCGUUGUUCGGAAUUACUGGGCGUAAAGGGCCAGUAGGCGGCCAACUAAGUCACACGUGAAAUCCCCAGGCUUAACCUGGGAACUGCGUGUGAUACUGGAUGGCUUGAAUUCGGGAGAGGGAUGCAGAAUUCCAGGUGUAGCGGUGAAAUGCGUAGAUAUCUGGAGGAACACCGGUGGCGAGGGCGGCAUCCUGGACCGGCAUUGACGCUGAGGCGCGAAAGCCAGGGGAGCAAACGGG